rnacentral:rRNA from 1 species
CAGCCGCCACGGGAAAACGGAGGGGGCUAGCGUUGUUCGGAAUUACUGGGCGUAAAGCGCACGUAGGCGGCUUGGUAAGUUAGAGGUGAAAGCCUGGAGCUCAACUCCAGAAUUGCCUUUAAGACUGCCGAGCUAGCAGGUGAGAGAGGUAAGUGGAAUUCCGAGUGUAGAGGUGAAAUUCGUAGAUAUUCGGAAGAACACCAGUGGCGAAGGCGGCUUACUGGCUCAUACUGGACGCUGAGGUGCGAAAGCGUGGGGAGCAAACAGGAUUAGAUACCCCCGUAGUCCCUGUCUCUUAUAC